UUUGGUUCUGCUUUCUUGGG
rnacentral:misc_RNA from 1 species